CCUACGGGGGGCAGCAGUGAGGAAUAUUGGUCAAUGGACGAGAGUCUGAACCAGCCAAGUAGCGUGAAGGAUGACUGCCCUAUGGGUUGUAAACUUCUUUUAUAUGGGAAUAAAACGUUCCACGUGUGGGAUUUUGUAUGUACCAUAUGAAUAAGGAUCGGCUAAAUCCGUGCCAGCAGCCGCGGUAAUACGGAGGAUCCGAGCGUUAUCCGGAUUUAUUGGGUGUAACGGGAGCGUAGGUGGAUUGGUAAGUCAGUUGUGAAAGUUUGCGGCUCAACCGUAAAAUUGCAGUUGAAACUGGCAGUCUUGAGUACAGUAGAGGUAGGCGGAAUUCGUGGUGUAGCGGUGAAAUGCUUAGAUAUCACGAAGAACUCCGAUUGCGAAGGCAGUUCACUGGACUGCAACUGACACUGAGGCUCGAAAGUGUGGGUAUCAAACAGGAUUAGAUACCCUUGUAGUC
rnacentral:rRNA from 1 species